rnacentral:rRNA from 1 species
UGGGGAAUCUUGCGCAAUGGGCGAAAGCCUGACGCAGCCAUGCCGCGUGAAUGAUGAAGGUCUUAGGAUUGUAAAAUUCUUUCACCGGGGACGAUAAUGACGGUACCCGGAGAAGAAGCCCCGGCUAACUUCGUGCCAGCAGCCGCGGUAAUACGAAGGGGGCUAGCGUUGCUCGGAAUUACUGGGCGUAAAGGGCGCGUAGGCGGACAUUUAAGUCAGGGGUGAAAUCCCAGAGCUCAACUCUGGAACUGCCUUUGAUACUGGAUGUCUUGAGUAUGAGAGAGGUAUGUGGAACUCCGAGUGUAGAGGUGAAAUUCGUAGAUAUUCGGAAGAACACCAGUGGCGAAGGCGACAUACUGGCUCAUUACUGACGCUGAGGCGCGAAAGCGUGGGGAGCAAACAGGAUUAGAUACCCUGGUAGUCCACGCCGUAAAGCGAUGAUUGCUAGUUGUCGGGGAAUUGCAUGCAUCUCGGGUGACGCAGCUAACGCAUUAAGCAAUCCGCCUGGGGAGUACGGUCGCAAGAUUAAAACUCAAAGGAAUUGACGGGGG